UUUCCGUAGGUGAACCUGCGGAAGGAUCAUUAUCGUACAAUAUGGGAGGAGCAUGCGAGGGCUGUCGCUGACUGAGAAGUCGUGCACGCCAUAGUUUGUUCUCUUGCAUAGUAAUCCAUCUCACCCGUGGUGCAUCACCACGUGUGCACCCUUCGGGAGCAGCUCUGACUGGGGCUCUCUUUUUCACCCAAACGCCCCUUUUAAAAGUGUAUCAUGACCACAUUUUAGAAAUUAAUCCAAUUUUAAACAACGGAUCCCUGGGCUCUCGCAUCCAUGAAA
rnacentral:misc_RNA from 1 species